rnacentral:rRNA from 1 species
CAGUCGCCGCGGUAAUACAGAGGGUGCGAGCGUUAAUCGGAUUUACUGGGCGUAAAGCGUGCGUAGGCGGCUUCUUAAGUCGGAUGUGAAAUCCCUGAGCUUAACUUAGGAAUUGCAUUCGAUACUGGGAAGCUAGAGUAUGGGAGAGGAUGGUAGAAUUCCAGGUGUAGCGGUGAAAUGCGUAGAGAUCUGGAGGAAUACCGAUGGCGAAGGCAGCCAUCUGGCCUAACACUGACGCUGAGGUACGAAAGCAUGGGGAGCAAACAGGAUUAGAUACCCGCGUAGUCCCUGUCUCUUAUAC